rnacentral:rRNA from 1 species
CCUACGGGUGGCUGCAGUGGGGAAUAUUGCACAAUGGGCGCAAGCCUGAUGCAGCCAUGCCGCGUGUGUGAAGAAGGCCUUCGGGUUGUAAAGCACUUUCAGCGGGGAGGAAGGCGGUGAGGUUAAUAACCUCAUCGAUUGACGUUACCCGCAGAAGAAGCACCGGCUAACUCCGUGCCAGCAGCCGCGGUAAUACGGAGGGUGCAAGCGUUAAUCGGAAUUACUGGGCGUAAAGCGCACGCAGGCGGUCUGUCAAGUCGGAUGUGAAAUCCCCGGGCUCAACCUGGGAACUGCAUUCGAAACCGGCAGGCUAGAGUCUUGUAGAGGGGGGUAGAAUUCCAGGUGUAGCGGUGAAAUGCGUAGAGAUCUGGAGGAAUACCGGUGGCGAAGGCGGCCCCCUGGACAAAGACUGACGCUCAGGUGCGAAAGCGUGGGGAGCAAACAGGAUUAGAUACCCGGGUAGUC